GCGAGAGUGGCGGAAUUGGUAGACGCACUGGAUUUAGGUUCCAGCGCCGCAAGGCGUGCGAGUUCGAGUCUCGCCUUUCGCA
rnacentral:tRNA from 1 species